rnacentral:rRNA from 1 species
AUGUGUACCGUAACCCGAGCCCACCUCGACCAAAGGCUCGCCGCCGCCAAGCGCUGCUCCAGAGAGGCAGCCAUUGCGGGAGCCAAGGCGGCCGCCGUCGCCACCGUUGCAACCGCAGUCCCCACCGUAAGUACACGUUUCUCAGCCGGCACCGCUAUCUUGCAAGCAUCCCCAAGAUCCAACAAUCAUGCAUCUCACCGUCUUCUUCCUCCGUGCCUUUCUCUGCAGCUGGCGAGCGUGAGGAUGCUGCCGUGGGCGAGGGCGCACCUCAACCCCACCGGGCAGGCGCUCAUCAUCUCCACCGUCGCCGGGAUGGCCUACUUCAUCGUCGCCGACAAGACCAUCGUAUCAAUGGCCAGGAAGCACUCCUACGAGGACGCGCCGGAGCACCUCAAGAACACCUCCUUCCACUAA